UCCUACGGGAGGCAGCAGUAGGGAAUCUUCCACAAUGGACGCAAGUCUGAUGGAGCAACGCCGCGUGAGUGAAGAAGGUUUUCGGAUCGUAAAGCUCUGUUGUUGGUGAAGAAAGAUAGUGAGAGUAACUGCUCAUUAUUUACCGGUAAUCAACCAGAAAGUCACGGCUAACUACGUGCCAGCAGCCGCGGUAAUA
rnacentral:rRNA from 1 species